rnacentral:lncRNA from 1 species
CAUUUUCCACUUGAAGGGACUUUCUGAAGAGAAACCUGAGCAGACUUUACCUCAGCUCCUAUUGGCCAGGGAUGUUGUGGAACUCUAGACUAUGUCUUAUUAGCCCUGUACCUCAGAAGAAAAAAAAAUCUCAUUAAUUCCAGGCCUGGCAGUCACCCUUCACUUCCUUUGCCAUUUCUAAGAAAGUUAAAGAAAAUGGAUCUCAGAGAGAAGAAAUGAUCAACCCAUGAUGGAUAGCUAAUAAGUUCCAGAGGAAGAAUUUAAACCCAAUUUUCUCUGACUCAAUGUUUAGCCUCCAUAUAUCUGAUCUUACUCAUCUCAUACCACUGAGCUUUAAAUCUAGUGAGUGCUUAAUAAAUCCAUGGUGAAAUGUUGUGGAGUGCCA